GCAAACUUGGUCAUUUAGAGGAAGUAAAAGUCGUAACAAGGUUUCCGUAGGUGAACCUGCGGAAGGAUCAUUAACAAUUGUCCACAACAAUGGAUAAUUUAUCCAUAUCCACCUUGUGUGAAUCUAUUGAAAUGUUUGUUGGCAGGUUAAGCUUUUCUUUUGGAGAGCUGUGUGGGGUUUACACGGCCUGCCAAUUUUAUUCUGUUUAAACUUGUCUAAAUGUUUAACUGUCUGAAAUUACACAUAUUAUAAUAAAUACAACUUUCAACAACGGAUCUCUUGGCUCUCGCAUCGAUGAAGAACGCAGC
rnacentral:misc_RNA from 1 species